AUACGGAGGGUGCAAGCGUUAUCCGGAUUCACUGGGUUUAAAGGGUGCGUAGGCGGGUAGGUAAGUCAGUGGUGAAAUCUCGGAGCUUAACUCCGAAACUGCCAUUGAUACUAUCUAUCUUGAAUAUUGUUGAGGUUUGCGGAAUAUGUCAUGUAGCGGUGAAAUGCAUAGAUAUGACAUAGAACACCUAUUGCGAAGGCAGCAGGCUAAACAUAUAUUGACGCUGAGGCACGAAAGCGUGGGGAUCAAACAGGAUUAGAUACCCUGGUAGUCCACGCCCUAAACGAUGGAUACUCGACAUACGCGAUACACAGUGUGUGUCUGAGCGAAAGCAUUAAGUAUCCCACCUGGGAAGUACGACCGCAAGGUUGAA
rnacentral:rRNA from 1 species